rnacentral:rRNA from 1 species
GACGAACGCUGGCGGCGUGCUUAACACAUGCAAGUCGAACGGAAAGGCCCUGCUUUUGUGGGGUGCUCGAGUGGCGAACGGGUGAGUAACACGUGAGUAACCUGCCCUUGACUUUGGGAUAACUUCAGGAAACUGGGGCUAAUACCGGAUAGGAGCUCCUGCUGCAUGGUGGGGGUUGGAAAGUUUCGGCGGUUGGGGAUGGACUCGCGGCUUAUCAGCUUGUUGGUGGGGUAGUGGCUUACCAAGGCUUUGACGGGUAGCCGGCCUGAGAGGGUGACCGGCACAAUGGGACUGAGGAGAGGGCCAGGAUUCCUCGGGGGGCAAGAGGUGGGAAUAUUGCACAAUGGGCGGAAGCCUGAUGCAGCAACGCCGCGUGCGGGAUGACGGCCUUCGGGUUGUAAACCGCUUUCGCCUGUGACGAAGCGUGAGUGACGGUAAUGGGUAAAGAAGCACCGGCUAACUACGUG